rnacentral:rRNA from 1 species
UGUCCUACGGGGCGCAGCAGUGGGGAAUAUUGCACAAUGGGGGAAACCCUGAUGCAGCAACGCCGCGUGAGUGAGGAAGUAUUUCGGUAUGUAAAGCUCUAUCAGCAGGGAAUAGAAAAGAAGGUACCUGAAAAAGAAGCCCCGGCUAACUACGUGCCAGCAGCCGCGGUAAUACGUAGGGGGCAAGCGUUAUCCGGAAUUACUGGGUGUAAAGGGAGCGUAGACGGCAAUGCAAGUCCGGAGUGGAAUGCGGCAGCUCAACUGCCGAACUGCUCUGGAAACUGUAUGGCUUGAGUGCAGGAGGG